GCACUGAAACGUACAUCUGAAGGAGGAUUUAGCAGUAAGCGGGAAAUAGAGCGUCCCACUGAAACUGGCCCUGAAGCGCGUACACACCGCCCGUCACUCUCCCCAAAAACAACAAUCAAUUAACUAAAACCUAAUAAUUAAAAAGGGGAGGCAAGUCGUAACAUGGUAAGUGUACCGGAAGGUGCGCUUGGUAAAAUC
rnacentral:rRNA from 1 species